rnacentral:rRNA from 1 species
UUAAGCGACUAAGCGUACACGGUGGAUGCCCUGGCAGUCAGAGGCGAUGAAGGACGUGCUAAUCUGCGAUAAGCGUCGGUAAGGUGAUAUGAACCGUUAUAACCGGCGAUUUCCGAAUGGGGAAACCCAGUGUGAUUCGUCACACUAUCAUUAACUGAAUCCAUAGGUUAAUGAGGCGAACCGGGGGAACUGAAACAUCUAAGUACCCCGAGGAAAAGAAAUCAACCGAGAUUCCCCCAGUAGCGGCGAGCGAACGGGGAGGAGCCCAGAGCCUGAAUCAGUGUGUGUGUUAGUGGAAGCGUCUGGAAAGGCGCGCGAUACAGGGUGACAGCCCCGUACACAAAAAUGCACAUGCUGUGAGCUCGAUGAGUAGGGCGGGACACGUGGUAUCCUGUCUGAAUAUGGGGGGACCAUCCUCCAAGGCUAAAUACUCCUGACUGACCGAUAGUGAACCAGUACCGUGAGGGAAAGGCGAAAAGAACCCCGGCGAGGGGAGUGAAAAAGAACCUGAAACCGUGUACGUACAAGCAGUGGGAGCCUCUUUAUGGGGUGACUGCGUACCUUUUGUAUAAUGGGUCAGCGACUUAUAUUCUGUAGCAAGGUUAACCGAAUAGGGGAGCCGAAGGGAAACCGAGUCUUAACUGGGCGUUAAGUUGCAGGGUAUAGACCCGAAACCCGGUGAUCUAGCCAUGGGCAGGUUGAAGGUUGGGUAACACUAACUGGAGGACCGAACCGACUAAUGUUGAAAAAUUAGCGGAUGACUUGUGGCUGGGGGUGAAAGGCCAAUCAAACCGGGAGAUAGCUGGUUCUCCCCGAAAGCUAUUUAGGUAGCGCCUCGUGAAUUCAUCUCCGGGGGUAGAGCACUGUUUCGGCAAGGGGGUCAUCCCGACUUACCAACCCGAUGCAAACUGCGAAUACCGGAGAAUGUUAUCACGGGAGACACACGGCGGGUGCUAACGUCCGUCGUGAAGAGGGAAACAACCCAGACCGCCAGCUAAGGUCCCAAAGUCAUGGUUAAGUGGGAAACGAUGUGGGAAGGCCCAGACAGCCAGGAUGUUGGCUUAGAAGCAGCCAUCAUUUAAAGAAAGCGUAAUAGCUCACUGGUCGAGUCGGCCUGCGCGGAAGAUGUAACGGGGCUAAACCAUGCACCGAAGCUGCGGCAGCGACGCUUAUGCGUUGUUGGGUAGGGGAGCGUUCUGUAAGCCUGCGAAGGUGUACUGUGAGGUAUGCUGGAGGUAUCAGAAGUGCGAAUGCUGACAUAAGUAACGAUAAAGCGGGUGAAAAGCCCGCUCGCCGGAAGACCAAGGGUUCCUGUCCAACGUUAAUCGGGGCAGGGUGAGUCGACCCCUAAGGCGAGGCCGAAAGGCGUAGUCGAUGGGAAACAGGUUAAUAUUCCUGUACUUGGUGUUACUGCGAAGGGGGGACGGAGAAGGCUAUGUUGGCCGGGCGACGGUUGUCCCGGUUUAAGCGUGUAGGCUGGUUUUCCAGGCAAAUCCGGAAAAUCAAGGCUGAGGCGUGAUGACGAGGCACUACGGUGCUGAAGCAACAAAUGCCCUGCUUCCAGGAAAAGCCUCUAAGCAUCAGGUAACAUCAAAUCGUACCCCAAACCGACACAGGUGGUCAGGUAGAGAAUACCAAGGCGCUUGAGAGAACUCGGGUGAAGGAACUAGGCAAAAUGGUGCCGUAACUUCGGGAGAAGGCACGCUGAUACGUAGGUGAAGCGACUUGCUCGUGGAGCUGAAAUCAGUCGAAGAUACCAGCUGGCUGCAACUGUUUAUUAAAAACACAGCACUGUGCAAACACGAAAGUGGACGUAUACGGUGUGACGCCUGCCCGGUGCCGGAAGGUUAAUUGAUGGGGUUAGCGGUAACGCGAAGCUCUUGAUCGAAGCCCCGGUAAACGGCGGCCGUAACUAUAACGGUCCUAAGGUAGCGAAAUUCCUUGUCGGGUAAGUUCCGACCUGCACGAAUGGCGUAAUGAUGGCCAGGCUGUCUCCACCCGAGACUCAGUGAAAUUGAACUCGCUGUGAAGAUGCAGUGUACCCGCGGCAAGACGGAAAGACCCCGUGAACCUUUACUAUAGCUUGACACUGAACAUUGAGCCUUGAUGUGUAGGAUAGGUGGGAGGCUUUGAAGUGUGGACGCCAGUCUGCAUGGAGCCGACCUUGAAAUACCACCCUUUAAUGUUUGAUGUUCUAACGUUGGCCCCUGAUCGGGGUUGCGGACAGUGUCUGGUGGGUAGUUUGACUGGGGCGGUCUCCUCCUAAAGAGUAACGGAGGAGCACGAAGGUUGGCUAAUCCUGGUCGGACAUCAGGAGGUUAGUGCAAUGGCAUAAGCCAGCUUGACUGCGAGCGUGACGGCGCGAGCAGGUGCGAAAGCAGGUCAUAGUGAUCCGGUGGUUCUGAAUGGAAGGGCCAUCGCUCAACGGAUAAAAGGUACUCCGGGGAUAACAGGCUGAUACCGCCCAAGAGUUCAUAUCGACGGCGGUGUUUGGCACCUCGAUGUCGGCUCAUCACAUCCUGGGGCUGAAGUAGGUCCCAAGGGUAUGGCUGUUCGCCAUUUAAAGUGGUACGCGAGCUGGGUUUAGAACGUCGUGAGACAGUUCGGUCCCUAUCUGCCGUGGGCGCUGGAGAACUGAGGGGGGCUGCUCCUAGUACGAGAGGACCGGAGUGGACGCAUCACUGGUGUUCGGGUUGUCAUGCCAAUGGCACUGCCCGGUAGCUAAAUGCGGAAGAGAUAAGUGCUGAAAGCAUCUAAGCACGAAACUUGCCCCGAGAUGAGUUCUCCCUGACUCCCUGAGAGUCCUGAAGGAACGUUGAAGACGACGACGUUGAUAGGCCGGGUGUGUAAGCGCAGCGAUGCGUUGAGCUAACCGGUACUAAUGAACCGUGAGGCUUAACCUU